rnacentral:rRNA from 1 species
AGCGAACGCUGGCGGCAGGCUUAACACAUGCAAGUCGAGCGGGCACUUUCGGGUGUCAGCGGCGGACGGGUGAGUAACGCGUGGGAACAUGCCCUCUGGUUCGGAAUAACUCAGGGAAACUUGAGCUAAUACCGGAUACGCCCUUUUGGGGAAAGGCUUGCUGCCGGAGGAUCGGCCCGCGUCUGAUUAGCUAGUUGGUGAGGUAACGGCUCACCAAGGCGACGAUCAGUAGCUGGUCUGAGGGGAUGAUCAGCCACACUGGGACUGAGACACGGCCCAGACUCCUACGGGAGGCAGCAGUGGGGAAUAUUGGACAAUGGGCGCAAGCCUGAUCCAGCCAUGCCGCGUGAGUGAUGAAGGCCUUAGGGUUGUAAAGCUCUUUUAUCCGGGACGAUAAUGACGGUACCGGAGGAAUAAGCCCCGGCUAACUUCGUG